CCAUAAGAUGACCUCCUUUUGUGCCUCUCCGAUUAGCUUUUCAUUUAGUUCCAGCUUAAUGGUGUUUUCGAAAAGAUGUGCCUCCACUAAUCCGUUUGUGGUUAUGACGAGGGGUAGGAUUGAUGUAGAGUAUCACAAUAUCCGGCCGGUUGUGCGCAAUGGGUCUGUCAGUGACGAGUGGAUGGUCCCAAUACAGUUUCAUCUCCUCAUUUUCCAGUAUUUCUUUAGGGCGAUGGCUUGGUGGUAUGCCUUUGCCAUGGCAUUGUGGCGGUCCGUGUAUUCCCUUGGAGCGAGGAUGGGGCAGGAUGACGUGACGUGUUGGAUUGUUUCAGUCGCCUGGGAGCAUUUGCGGCAUUUGUCAUUAGGUAAGUUCUUAUUCAUUAUCUGUUUUUGAUAUGCUUUUGUAGGUAUCACCUGAUCCUGAAUUGCCGCCAGUCUGCCCUCCGUUUCUGGAAACAGGGCGGUGGGGUAUCUUCCAUGGAGAGCUUUGCCGUGCCAUAUUUCGGAUAGUUCUUCGAUGCUUUUAGGUUCAAUGGGAUGGUUGCUUGAUGCCAGAUUUAAUGCUGUGAUGUUGUUGUCUUCAUCAGAUAUGGCUUUGAAAAAAGGUGAGUUUUUUGAUCUGAAGUAUUCUCUCAUCUCGCGUACUACUCGGUGGUGUGUGGAUUCAAUGUUUUGCAGUCCCCUUCCUCCAUCUUGUCUGGGCACGUAUAAUCUGUUCACAGAAGCGUGGGGGUGGUGCAUGCCAUAUUUUGUCAGUGAUACUCUUAUUUGUGUGUCGAUGGCCCUGAGGUCUGUGACGGACCAUUUUAUUAUUCCGAACGAGUAAGAUAAGCAAGGAAUAGCCCAUGUGCUGAUAGCUGUAAAUGUUGAUUUAGCAUUUAAUUUGCUUUUCAGUAUCAUUUUCAGCCUUUCCAUGAACUUGUUUCUGAAAGUUGUUUUGGCUUCAGUAUUCCUUAUUUCUAGCCCUUGUUGGAUGCCUAGGUAUUUAUAGGAUUCAUCUGGCCCUAGUCUUUGAAUUCUUAGUUCGUCUUCUACAAGCAUCGCUUCUCCAGUUAUGAGUUUUCCCCUUUUAAUAUGCAGCACUGCGCAUUUAUCAAGUCCCAUUUGCAUCUUGA